rnacentral:lncRNA from 1 species
UUAACAAAGUUUCUUUAGUUGUAGAUGGAGAGAAAGAUUGAUAUAUCAUUAUAGCUCGAGGUUAUUUUUCGUUGAUUGUUGUAUUAUUCAUGAUUUUAUCUUUUAUCACUUUGGCGUUCCACCAGGAAGUUGCUGAUAUAGUUGACUGAUAAUAAGUCCUUGAGGGCUGUUAUUGUUACGCAGUUUCUCAUUGGUCAAUAUCGUGCGUUCAACCGUGAAUUUGUCAGGCCCCUUUUGCAUAUGCGGUAGAAACUGUUAGCUAACUGGCAUUGUCUUCUUGCUUGUAUUGUGUGCAGACGUGUUUUAGAAAUUUUGCUUGAAAUUUAAUUAAAGUUCCACCGUAAUACGAGCACUCAGAUAUAAUAAAGGAUAUAACAAUGGACAUGAGGAAUGAUUACACGUAUUCAAGUUAUUAUAAGUAUCAGAAACAUCAGAUUCAUCAUGACUGCUUGAGCUAGAAUCAUCAGGAGGUAUUACAUAAUUAACCCUUCGUCUUGGAUAACCUUUGACAGCUUUGCGUUCGGGCCAUUCAGCAAUGCCAGCAAGCCUUAUCUGAUCUGCAUGCACUUGAACAACAGAGUUGUCAAGCUGGUUCUUAAUAAGGACCUCCCUAAAGGCAGAACUCGUAAAUUCUGACCCUCGGUCAUGAAUUAUCUGGAGAGGACAUCCAUAUCUAGGAUAUAUCUCAUUCAAAAAAUCUGGUGGUCGUGAAAAGAAAUCAGCAAUAACAUUUGCCUUUCCUGGAAGAUACUCUAUCUUACAGUUGUAACCUCUAAUAGACAAUGCCCAUAACUGAAUUUUCUUGUUUUGCAUUUCACUUUUUAAUAAAUACUGCAGCGGAGAAUGGUCGCAUUUGAUUGUAAGUUCAGCAUUGUGUAAAAAGUAAUUUAAACGUUGC